AUUAUGGCCUUGUUUAGCAUUAUUUACUCCAAAUAUGGCAUGAUUACACUAUUUGUAUCCGUUUGAUUCACUUUCAAUGGGGCUUUUAUUUUGAAGGCGACCUGCAAAUUCCACUAUUGUGGUUUAUCCUUAUUGUGGCUAGUUUCACAUAGGUGAAUUCACCAACACUGACCCGCAGAGAAGGACUAAACUGAUCAUUACUGUCAACCAGACAAGGACAACUGAAAUCCACAUAUUAAAACGUUUGAUGUAGUCUGAAAAUUGGGACAGGAAUCACAAAAACAAUCACAAGUUCAUAACAAGAGGACCAAUAGUAAGUCAUCCUGAAUGGAUCCCCCAAACAGAGGGGGGCAACGGAGAGGUAGAGGAGGAGCCAACCAUGUCAAUCACAGAAGAGGUGCUGAGGCUGGUCAGAGAGAAGAGGAAGGGAUAGCCAACCAAGGGAGAGGGGGAAGAGGUAGGGGGGCCAGGGAAGAGAGGAGAGGGGUUAAUGGGGGGAACCCGAGGGAGGAUA